GAGCCUCAUGACAAGCCUGAUAUUUUGUAUAAAUUGGCUCGGUGUUCAUUUACAGUCUACUGAAGGAGCAUGCUCUCACCCACAUCGUUGCACUACAGGAGGAAGAAAUCUGCUUCAGCCCACCAUGAAGACCUCGCUGCUGGCCUUUGCAGUCUUUUCAGGACUGCUUGGUGCUUUAGCUGCUAUUCCUGUCCCUAUUCUAGUUCUUUACCAUGCCUUCUGCACUCUGGUCACUUUGGUCAAUAUGCUGGUCAUUAUUAUAUGCCAUGUAUACCAAAAUUACUACUGAUGAGUCCAAACUGCAUCCUGCUUUCUUUUCUAGGCUCUGUCUAACACUGCGCAGGAAUCAGCAUGGCAAUAGUGCAAGAAAUUCAGUCUCUCAGUCAGUAUAUGUUAAUCCCACGCUUUUUCAAGGCUGUAUGGAUAAGAAAUCUGAUGUCGGAGUUAUUUAAUGUAAUGGUUUUUGUUCCAGCUUGUGUCAGCCACUCCUGUGCCUAUCAAAGCUAACCACACUUCUCUUGAUAGCCUCCAGGCAGAAAACAUAACCUUCACACUGACCCCCACUGUUCUGAGCUGUGACUGCAGAGUGACUGUAAGACUCGGACCCACCACACAUCUCCAAACAACCUGCAUGUUGAGAGCUCAGAGUGAGUUUUGCAAAAUCAUACUGACAGGUGGCAGCAGUGUUUCUAUAACAUUUCAGUGGCCAGAAUACUGCAUCGUUUGAAACCUGCUGACAGGCAGAAACUCCCAAUCCAAGGCAGAGCCACUCAUUAGUGAACUCAACAAAGCCCAGAUCUUUGGUGGAGGAAUAUAUCUUUAACCUCUACACGGCAGCCCGGGCUCACAGAUGUGGGGAUCAUGGUGAAGUUAAGGCUCUGGACCUGUCCAGUAACUCUUUUUCAUUAGAAAUGGAGUUACUGGACCGAGCUUGUAUGGAAGUUCAGUAAAACAUUUUAUAAAUGAGUAUUAACUAAACAAUGUUUAUGCCAUCCUAUAAAAUUAAAAAAAUGCUUUAACAAUCUUCUCACCUUGUAUGAAUACAUGGCUCUAAUCUGUGUCACAAUGGCCAUGUUUACUUGAUCACAUGGGACUCUGAGUAACCUGGGGACAGGGAGAAAAAAGAAAAAAGAAAGUCACAUGUACAAUAACAUACAAUCCAUCUCUGUUAUUGCUCCUCAAAGGAAGGGAACGUAACGUAAAUCCAGUCAUGGCUACAUGAACUCUUACCACACAGUCUUGCAGAUAACAAUUUCCUAAAACUUAAUGAAAGCAAAACCGAGGUCAUAUGCUUUGGUAAAUUUG